UACGGGGGGGGCAAGCGUUGUUCGGAAUUACUGGGCGUAAAGGGCUCGUAGGCGGCCAACUAAGUCAGACGUGAAAUCCCUCGGCUUAACCGGGGAACUGCAUCUGAUACUGGAUGGCUUGAGUUCGGGAGAGGGAUGCGGAAUUCCAGGUGUAGCGGUGAAAUGCGUAGAUAUCUGGAGGAACACCGGUGGCGAAGGCGGCGAUCCUGGACCGACACUGACGCUGAGGAGCGAAAGCCAGGGGAGCAAACGGG
rnacentral:rRNA from 1 species